AUAUGACACGGACCGACGGUGUCCAGUUUGGGCCCAACAUUCGGUCGCGGUGCAAUGAC
rfam:Rhizobiales bacterium 64-17 SCNpilot_cont_500_bf_scaffold_351, whole genome shotgun sequence.